ensembl:lncRNA
CACAACCUGAUGUACACGGUUGAAAGAUGUGAGGCUGAGAGAGUGUUUCAUACAGGUGGAGCUCUGCUAAAACUCUAUAAACAUCAUAUUUAUUUUAACAAUUGUUUUUUAGAGAAAUGAUAAAUGCAAUGCCUUGGGCGAGUUCAGCACAGUUCAGUAGACUGUUGUACCGAUGGAUUUUUUUGGAUGCUUUUUAGUCCACGGGAAAAUAUAAAGAGAAAACUAAAAGUCAGGUUCUGCUUGAAAGAUGACAUUCAUCACAGCCCAAGUCAGAUGCUUAAUGUGCAUGAAACGAACACAAGCUACAAGCUCCUGUCUAAAGAGUCAAAGAGAAACUUGGGCUGGAUCAGUGGCUGAGGUGUGUGUAUGUCAGGCUGGGGCGAGGACCCGGUCAGGACAGGUGCAGGGACCGAGCGCUGGUCCUCAGCUCAUGCUCCCUGCACUAAUUAAGUUUUGGGGCUUUGUGUGGCCGUGCUUGGUUACUCUGGCAGGCUACGAGGACUCAGUGUGCAGGGAUUUACCUAUAAGAGACGUAAUGAACAUGGUCUUACUUCUUCAAAUCACAUGUCCUUUGUUCAUUCUCAUGGGAAAGGGUCUUCUUCACGCUCCCCUUAAUCCUGUGCUUGAAGCCUGUUUUUACUGGGCUUCCCUUUUCUUUCUAUCUCUCUCUCUAUCUCUCUUCAUCUAUCUUCCUGCUACACCCUCCAUCACAACAGAAGCUUGUAGCUACAAUAGGGGUUAUUUUAAGAGCAGAUACUAA